UUCCAGUAGGAUUUUAUACAAGAUCAGGUCUGGCCGUCUCCGCAGUGCAGCGGCGCAGGACGCUACUAACGCCAAUUGGCAACUCGCAAAUUAUCGGGUGGUAUACUUAGUGCUCACGACAGCAAUGGGUUCUCUACCCAACGACGAAAAAGGAAUUAUCGAAUACGAAAUUUGAAUUUAAUUUACGAUUAUUUUUUUUAAUAAUCGACGUGCUGUGGGUCGUUUCUUAGUGCAGUGAAUGUGUGCCAAAACCUUUGAGGUCAGUGUUGUGAACGAACAAGCAUCUAGCAAAAAAUAUGACGGAAUUUUUUGGAUCAUGGAGCAACAACGGCGAGGACGGCGACGAGGUGGAGGAGACGGUGGAGUCCGUAGAGACCAUCACCACAACCACCACCAAAACCCGCGUACCAAAAUCCUCAUCUACGAAGACCACUACGAUGACGACCCCGGCCAAGCUGUACGGACGGGAGUUGUCGACAUACGAUGAGGUGGACGUGGACGAACUGCUGUCCAAGCUAACGCAAGAGGAGCUCACCAUGCUCGCCAAGGAGGUUGAUCCAGAUGACAAUUUCCUGCCACCCUCGCAACGUAACAACUACGCGUGCGAGAAGGACCCCACGGGUCCGUUGAACCGCAAGAAACUGAUCGAGCACAUCAACAAGCAGGCGCUCGAGACCCCCGACCGGCCGGAGGUGAAACCCUACGUGCCCGGAGUCAUACGAGGCAAAAAGUGGAUCCCGCCGCCGCCGCCGGAGAAGGUGCGCGACGCGGAGGAGCAGAUCACCAUCGACCUCGGCGACGAGUACGAGCAGGCGCUCACCGGCGCCACGCAGGAGGAGAUCAUCGACCUCGCAGCUAUCCUCGGCUUCCACUCGAUGAUGAACCAGGACCAGUACCACGCGUCGCUGCUCAACAAGGGACAGCCGGUCGGCCUCGGUUGGGACGGCAUCACCAAAGCUACCAAACCAAAGGUUUAUCCAAUGGAUCCUCCCAACGACACAGACCCAGACGAGACCAUAAAGAGGGUACAAGAAAAUGACCCCACGUUGACUGAUCUCAAUUGGAAUAAUAUUAAGAACAUAAGCGACGAGAAGUUCGAGAAGCUGUUCUUGGGUCUGAAGACGAACACGCAGCUGGAGGUGGUGUCGCUGGUGAACGUGGGGCUCGGCGACCGCGGCGCGGCGGCGCUGGCGGCCGCGCUCGCGCGCAACAACACGCUGCGCUCGCUCAACGUCGAGACCAACUUCAUCUCGCCCGCCGGCGUCGUGCAGCUCGUCGCCGCGCUGCUGCACACCAGCGUCGAGGAGUUCCGCGCCUCCAACCAGCGAUCGCAAGUGUUGGGCAACAAGAUCGAGAUGGAGAUCACGCAGCUGGUGGAGCAGAACCCCACGCUGCUGCGGCUCGGCCUCCACCUCGAGUACAGCGACGCGCGGCACCGCGUCGCCUCGCAUCUGCAGCGGAACAUCGACAGAAAUUGUCGAGUGCUCAAGCGAGCUAGCGCGUCGCUGCGCCUGCGCCUGCCGCGCGGACCUCCUCCCGCCCUCGGCAUCGACUCCAGCUUCCUCAUGACGCCGCCCUGCGCCGAGGCACUCACGCCCCCUACCCCUGAACCGAGGCGACCAGUCAUCACCGAAAACGUCGAGAAUACAGUCGUCGUCGAAGCCAAAGAGCGGCCACAGGAGCCCCAGAACGGAGACGCCCCUCUAUUCCCUCGGGAGCGUGUGAUCCCGGUCGCGACUGAGUUAAGUCCGCCUGUGAACGGAGAACGAGAAGUGGAGCUGCGCUCCGGAGACCAUGUGGACAGAUUCGUGAAGGCGGAGAAACCCGAUAUUAACCCCAAUCCGCACUCUACGGAAAGACCUAACGCUGCGACUUCAGUUCAGAUUCUUUAACAACAUGCAAAAGGGCGCGCGUAGUCAAUAGUCGGAGGUCAGACCCGCAGCGUACGCCAGCAGCGCCGGAGCCAGAAUAGCGCUUAAAGCCUCGCCUCUCACGUGUGGUGGUCGCGUGCGUCGCCUGACGCAGUUCACCCGCAGCCGCAGCUACGUGGUGGGCUGGAUCCCCUGACGCUGCCUCCGCGCCCUCCCGCGGGACCUUGUGCUUGUGUGCCCUCAACCCUCCAGCCAGACCCUUCCUACCACUAUAAGCUUAGCUUACACCACAAUUUCAAUGUUUUUGGACGUUUAAAAUUAGAACAACCUGUAUACUGACUUUUCUACGCCGAGUUUUAAUGUUAGUAAAAAUGUUGCUUUACGCUUAAACAAAAUUAUGCGGUGCUGCUAGUAGUUAGUACGUUUGAAGGGCUCCUGAAGUUUUAAUAAAACUAUUUCGACGACACACAAUCACAAAGUACCGAACGGACAGUUAUAUGUGUGCCCGAGCGAUGAAUGUUGUAUGCAACAAGAAUUGUGAUUUUAUCACUCGAUCGAACUUGAAACGAUGACAACACUAGUAUGGUGGCAGGCCCAUCACUAGUCCAAUAAGUGCAGUGUAAAUCUCAUUUGAUAUGAAUUUUAAAUAACCAUAGACAAUGUUGAUAUUUCUUUUCAAUACUUCGCAUUCGAGCUAUUCGAAGAGAUUUUUUUUUCUAAAUUAGUUUUAAGUGUUUUUUUUUAAUUAUGCUUUGAAUAGAAAAUAUAUAAUCAUACUGCCGCUACUUGUUCUACAAGUAAAAUGACAAUUCUUGUCUAUGUGUGAGUGACGUACGUUUUACAAUUAAUUCUUACUAUAGUGUGCUAAUGAAAUUGUAUUAAUUUUUAUUAUUAUAUUGUAAUAUAUUUUAGAUGUGCACAUUCCAUUAAUGCGAAACAUGGUUCUCUUGUUUUGACGCUUAUAUAGUGCAAUAAUGACACUACAAAUAAAAUAUUUAUCUUUACUAACAUAUAUUGACUGAAUCAUAGAGAAAUUAUAUUUUGAUUUAAAAUUUCGAUAUUAAUUCUUAUUUGAUUGAAAAAUAACUUUUUUAUUAAUCAGUUUUUAUGAUUAAUCGAUAUAUUUUACAAGGGAAGAUAUGACCCGUGUGUAACGUAAGAGAAGCCAUGUUCUGCGUCAAUGGAGAGCAAAGUUAACUUUACAUUUUUCAAUAAAGCACUAGGUUUCGUUGGUGGUGUGUAGUCACGAUUCGUAUGCCUUCAGCGGUCAAAAUACUUUUGUACGUUUUUAUAGUCGUUGUUAGAUAAUAAUAGAGUAGGGAGUCAUACAGAUGCAGAUUAGCUUGCAAUACGCGCGACCUUCUGCUUUCUUGAGACAUAAAAUGCUUACGUUUAAAUUGUAACUUUAUGUAUAUUUGAUAGUGGAUCUACUGGGGAACUAAGUGUCCGUAAGAUUGUGAUAAAACAUCAUGUUUUUUCCAUUAUAAAAAUACAGCUCGACUUUUAGUUUCCAUAAGAGAGAUUAUUUGUAUAUGAAUUUAGAUUUUUUAAAGUGUAAUAUUCUUUUAUUGUGACGAUUUAUGAAAAAUAAAAUAUAAAUUAAUUAAUAUAAAACAUAAUUUUAAUUGUAGUUAUUUAUGUUGAUAUUAAAGUUCAGGAGCAUUUUGAUUCAACGAAAACCUUGACUAUUAGGGUCGCAGUUCUGUAGUUUGUGACAAAUGUAAAAAAAACUUAAUAAAGUACGUAAAACAUUGA